rnacentral:snRNA from 1 species
GGAUGUAAGGGUGAUCUGGCUGCGACAUCUGUCGCCCCAUUGAUCGCCAGGGUUGAUUCAGCUGAUUUGGCUGGCUAGGCGGGUGUCCCCUUCCUCCCUCAAUGAUCCAUGUGCAUCCCUCCUGAAGCUGUGUGCUCGGUCAAAGAGGACGACCAUCCCAAAUAGAGGAGGACUGUUCCUUGGUCAAGGGUAUAUGAGUACCUGCGCUCCCCUGGUAGAACCUCCAAACAAGCUCUCAAGAAAAAAGACUUUUUCCCACUUCUUUUUGCAGCCUUCAAUAACUUGCCAUGUGUUUUCAUAUUUGUGGCUUGGU